rnacentral:rRNA from 1 species
AGAUUAAGUUAUUAAGGGCGCACGGUGGAUGCCUUGGCACUAGAAGCCGAUGAAGGACGUUACUAACGACGAUAUGCUUUGGGGAGCUGUAAGUAAGCUUUGAUCCAGAGAUUUCCGAAUGGGGAAACCCAGCAUGAGUUAUGUCAUGUUAUCGAUAUGUGAAUACAUAGCAUAUCAGAAGGCACACCCGGAGAACUGAAACAUCUUAGUACCCGGAGGAAGAGAAAGAAAAUUCGAUUCCCUUAGUAGCGGCGAGCGAAACGGGAAGAGCCCAAACCAACAAGCUUGCUUGUUGGGGUUGUAGGACACUCUGUACGGAGUUACAAAGGACGACAUUAGACGAAUCAUCUGGAAAGAUGAAUCAAAGAAGGUAAUAAUCCUGUAGUCGAAAAUGUUGUCUCUCUUGAGUGGAUCCUGAGUACGACGGAGCACGUGAAAUUCCGUCGGAAUCUGGGAGGACCAUCUCCUAAGGCUAAAUACUCUCUAGUGACCGAUAGCGAACCAGUACCGUGAGGGAAAGGUGAAAAGCACCCCGGAAGGGGAGUGAAAUAGAACCUGAAACCGUGUGCUUACAAGUAGUCAGAGCCCGUUAAUGGGUGAUGGCGUGCCUUUUGUAGAAUGAACCGGCGAGUUACGAUUUGAUGCAAGGUUAAGCAGUAAAUGUGGAGCCGUAGCGAAAGCGAGUCUGAAUAGGGCGUUUAGUAUUUGGUCGUAGACCCGAAACCAGGUGAUCUACCCUUGGUCAGGUUGAAGUUCAGGUAACACUGAAUGGAGGACCGAA